ensembl:lncRNA
GGAGAACAACGCUAAGGCUGCGUAUGCUGGUCGGAGCUAUUCAUCGAGAGUUUUCUUUAAUAUUUGUUUAGAAAAAGGUUAUGUGAGAAGACACAAAUUGGAUUUUACUUUUCCGCUUGUUGGGAAACGCGGACACUUUUUGUUGAUGCCGAUAUACCUCUGUUUUUGUGGUUUUUGUUCAUUUCCGGUUGGUUUUUUUGUUGGAGUCUAAAAUUGUGAGCCAGGAUUCCGGAUCCCCAGCUGCGAUGCAGGAAAGGUUUCCAGCCUACUUAGAAGUGACAACUGCGUUACUUCUUGACAGAUAAGCUUAUGAGAUCUCAGAACAAUACACUACCCAGAACUGAAGAAGCGUCUCGGAUGAGAGGUGAAACGUCUUCAAGCAACUCAAAGAAGUCCAGACGCUUUUCUUUGCAAACUCCUUUGACUAUGAUGACCUGGAUGACUGAGAACCUUCACAGAUAUACACACACACACUCACACACCUGAACUGAAAAGAACUCUGAACACUGAACUCUGAACUCUAAAACUGAAUACAUGGACUGACAAUUAUGGAUUAUUGAAACUGUUGUGAAC